CAGUAGCCGCGGUAAUACGAAGGGUGCGAGCGUUAAUCGGAAUUACUGGGCGUAAAGCGUGCGCAGGCGGUUCGUUAAGACAGAUGUGAAAUCCCCGGGCUUAACCUGGGAACUGCAUUUGUGACUGGCGAGCUAGAGUGUGGCAGAGGGGGGUGGAAUUCCGCGUGUAGCAGUGAAAUGCGUAGAUAUGCGGAGGAACACCGAUGGCGAAGGCAGCCCCCUGGGCCAACACUGACGCUCAUGCACGAAAGCGUGGGGAGCAAACAGGAUUAGAUACCCGUGUAGUCCCUGUCUCUUAUAA
rnacentral:rRNA from 1 species